AACGAUGAAGUGGAGCUUGCUCCACGGAUUAGUGGCGAACGGGUGAGGAACACGUGAAGAAACCUGCCUCGGUAUUUUGGGAUAAACAAAUAGGAAACGUUUGCUAAUACCAAAUAACGUCGGAGAGUCACAUGACUUUCUGACGAAAGGAAUUCCGAUUCGAGAGGUCUCGCGGCCUAUCAGCUUGUGGCGGGGUAAUGGCCCCACCAAGGCAACGACGGGUAGCUGGUCUGAGAGGAUGGUCAGCCACACUGGGACUGAGACACGGCCCAGACUCC
rnacentral:rRNA from 1 species